GCCAAGGUGGCGGAGUGGUUACGCAAUCGCCUGCAGAGCGAUUUACUCCUGGUUCAAAUCCGGAUCUUGGCU
rnacentral:tRNA from 1 species